rnacentral:rRNA from 1 species
UUUGUUAGUUUUAGUGGGCAUUCGGUGGAUGCCUUGGCACUCAGAGCUGAUGAAGGACGUGGCGGUCUGCGAUAUGCCUUAGGGAGUUGACGAGCGAGCGUUGAUCUAAGGAUUUCCGAAUGGGGGAACCUAGCUGGUGUUAUGGCCAGUUACCACUGCCUGAAUGAAAUAGGGUUGUGGGGGGAACGCGGGGAAGUGAAACAUCUCAGUACCCGUAGGAAAAGAUAUUCCGUGAGUAGUGGCGAGCGAAAGCGGAGGAGGCUAAACCUUGUGCGUGUGAUAGGCGGCGGCCGUUGCGCAUGGGGUGUUGUGGGGCAUGAUCGUCUACCUUCUGCCGGGGGUGGGCAUGGCGUGUUGUUGGUGGUUGAACCUCUUGGGAUGGGGGACCGUAGUGCGUGAUAGUCGCGUAGGCCAGCCGGUGACAUGUUGUGUGGGUUGUGUUCCCGAGUAGUGCGGGACUCGUGAAAUCUCGUGUGAAUCUGCCAGGACCACCUGGUAAGCCUAAAUACUACUGAGUGACCGAUAGUGCAUAGUACCGUGAGGGAAUGGUGAAAAGUACCCCGGGAGGGGA